rnacentral:rRNA from 1 species
GACGAACCGAGCGAACGUUGUUCGGAAUCACUGGGCUUAAAGGGCGCGUAGGCGGGCUGCCGCGUCCGGGGUGAAAUCCCACGGCUCAACCGUGGAACGGCCCCGGGUACGGGCGGCCUCGAGGGGGGUAGGGGCGUGCGGAACUGUGGGUGGAGCGGUGAAAUGCGUUGAGAUCCACAGGAACUCCGGUGGCGAAGGCGGCACGCUGGACCCCUUCUGACGCUGAGGCGCGAAAGCCAGGGGAGCAAACAGG